UCCACACUGGGAUAAAUAAUAAGAAACGGAUCACGUCUAAUGUGGACAUAUCAGACACCUUGUGAAACACUAAAGGAAAAAUUCAGUUUCGAGCUAUGGCACUUGCCGCAUAGAUGUGGGGGGCCUUGCACCAAUAGUAAUAGUUACCACUGCAUAUAGAAAUUUAAAGCAUUCAUGCAGACAAGGAUGAUUCUUUAUAUUUUUGGCUACCACUUCAAAUGCCUCCACUAAGUGUUACAAUGCUGCACGCAGCCAUACUAAGGAUCUCACAGCAACACUUGCAGGUAAACAGCAAAAGCAGUCAAAGUGCUGGUGUAUUCUGGACACUGUCUUUGAAAACUUUUAGGCAAGAACAGUGCAAGAAACAGACAUAAGAACUGCAUUUAUUUCUAUAAUUCCCCAUUUGAAUGGCCUUUUCUUUUUCCUUCGACAAUGCCUUCGCCUAGCCACAGCAGCUCCCUCAUACAGACUCCGCAAGCCAAGAGGCCGUGGAGGCAAAUGCAGACAGCCAGCACACCUCGAACAGCCACCUUGACUGCGGGUGUGUCACCCUAGUCACCAAGGAAACAUUUGAGGGAAAGCGACAGGCAAUGUGAACAGCCACUUCUCCAUGUAAACGAUACUCUUUCUCUCGGAUGACUCCUACGUUCGCCACGCCAGCACACUUGUGCACAAAGAUGCCGCGGAGGCACGUGCAGGUCAGAGGCAAGAAGCAGUGGCACUGGUGUCGACAUCCGCCCAAUUUCUUUUUCUUACACUGAGGCAGCCAGCACACCUCGAACAGCCACCUUAACUGCGGGUGUGUUAGUAGAUUCCUGUUGUACAUAUGCUCAUAAUAAACUUCAGUAAACUUGAACUUGAUAAUAAACUUGAAGGCAAAUGGGA